rnacentral:ncRNA from 1 species
AACUGAGGACGACCUCGGUGUGGCAUCACGAUAAGGGGACGGCCCUA